rnacentral:misc_RNA from 1 species
GUUUGCACUAAUUAUAAGUAAAAUCAAGCAUUAAUUUCAACUUUCAAGUGCUAACAUCUUUUAAGUAUUUUUUAAGUGGAAGAAAAACCUAAGCGGAGGCUUCACUGGAAGGGUUGGAUUCAUCAAUGGUUCAUAUAUUUGGCAGAAGAAAAAAAUUCUGUUAUUUUUGCAUCCCAUUGCUGUAAGUGGAGGCUCUAUAGUCGCUGGAUGGGUUGGAUUCAUCAGUGGUUCAUAUAUUUG